CUUGGUCAUUUAGAGGAAGUAAAAGUCGUAACAAGGUUUCCGUAGGUGGUUCGCCUACCAAACCAGAGAGUCAGCACCGCUGGCUACACUUCUACUGUGCUGGGAACCACUAACGUGCUACCAGCAGCCCGAGUGAUCGGGUUCACAGGUCAAAUAGACGUGGCCCCGCCUGGGGUUAAGAUAUGAUCGGACUGCACCGUAACCGGCUGCAGAGACUCGGAACCUGCGGAAGGAUCACUAAAGAGAACUUGCCCYKCGGGGUAGAUCUCCCACCCUUUGUUUAUUAUACUUUGUUGCUUUGGCGGGCCUGCCUCACGGCUGCCGGCGUAAGCUGGCUCGCGCCCGCCAGAGACCCCUAAACUCUGAAUAUUGUCGUCUGAGUAAUACAUAAUAAGUUAAAACUUUCAACAACGGAUCUCUUGGUUCUGGCAUCGAUGAAGAACGCAGCGAAAUGCGAUAAGUAAUGUGAAUUGCAGAAUUCAGUGAAUCAUCGAAUCUUUGAACGCACAUUGCGCCCCUUGGUAUUCCGGGGGGCAUGCCUGUUCGAGCGUCAUUUCAACCCUCAAGCCUAGCUUGGUCUUGGGCUCUGCCGGCAACGGCUGGCCUUAAAAUCAGUGGCGGUGCCAUCGAGCUCUACGCGUAGUAAUUAAACCCUCGCGUGUGAGUCCCGGUGGACGCUUGCCAGCAACCCCUAAUUUUCUAUGGUUGACCUCGGAUCAGGUAGGGAUACCCGCUGAACUUAAGCAUAUCAAUAAGCGGAGGA
rnacentral:rRNA from 1 species